rnacentral:rRNA from 1 species
GACGUAGGGUCCAAGCGCUGUCCGGAUUUACUGGGCGUAAAGAGCGCGUAGGCGGUCUGUUAAGUGUGAAGUGAAAUCUCCAGGGCUCAACCCGGAAACUGCUUCGCAUACUGGCAGACUUGAGGAAUGCAGAGGUUUGUGGAAUUCCUGGUGUAACGGUGAAAUGUGUUGAUAUCAGGAGGAACACCCAUGGCGAAGGCAGCAAACUGGGCAUUAUCUGACGCUGAGGCGCGAAAGCGUGGGUAGCAAACAGG